GACGAACGCUGGCGGCGUGCUUAACACAUGCAAGUCGAACGGUAAGGCCCUUCGGGGUACACGAGUGGCGAACGGGUGAGUAACACGUGGGUGAUCUGCCCUGCACUUCGGGAUAAGCCUGGGAAACUGGGUCUAAUACCGGAUAGGACCACUGCCGGCAUGGGUGGGGGUGGAAAGCUUCUGCGGUGUGGGAUGGGCCCGCGGCCUAUCAGCUUGUUGGUGGGGUGAUGGCCUACCAAGGCGACGACGGGUAGCCGGCCUGAGAGGGUGACCGGCCACACUGGGACUGAGAUACGGCCCAGACUCCUACGGGAGGCAGCAGUGGGGAAUAUUGCACAAUGGGCGCAAGCCUGAUGCAGCGACGCCGCGUGAGGGAUGACGGCCUUCGGGUUGUAAACCUCUUUCAGCACAGACGAAGCGCAAGUGACGGUAUGUGCAGAAGAAGGACCGGCCAACUACGUGCCAGCAGCCGCGGUAA
rnacentral:rRNA from 1 species